CUUUGUUUGUAUGUGGUGCUGAGGGUCGAACCCAGGCCGCACACAUGCCAGGCGAGCGCGCCACUGCUUGAGCCACAUCCCCAGCCCUUCUGGGCACUUUUAUUCUUGUUGCCUAAACCUCUUCCCAGAGAAACAUGUUGCCUUAGACAUUUACUGGACACUCAUUCUAUAUCAGGCAAUGGAUCAACUGAGAAUUAUAUUCAGUUACUGUCAAGGGAGACCUGACCUAGAGACUUAAAUGAACUAGGAGUUUAUUCUCUCUCAUAAAAGAAGUCCAGAGGCAGCUGCUUCAGGGCUAUACCAAGCCAUCAGGGAUGCAGCUUUCUUCUACCUCUCUCACUGUUUCUAGCACAUAGAUUUAAUCCUAAAAAUGCCCAAGAUAUCUGCUGAAGUUCUGGCCAUCACAUCCAUAUCCCAGACAGGAAAAGUGGAAAGAGAAAGGGACAGAGUAUGUGUGCUUCCCUCCCCUUCCCCUCCCUCCCUUUAGAAGUCCUCCUGCAAGCCCAAGUUCCACUGACAAUCGUUAGCACCUGCUGGUUGCAAGGGAGAUUAUGAAAUGUUGCCUUUUCCCCGGGCACAUUGCUGCCCUAAUUAAAAUUGGGGUUGUGGUAGGAAUAAAGAAUGGGAGAAUGAUAUUGGGGGAGCAAUUUCUGCCAUGGGCACUUUACUAGGAGAUUUCAUCAUCUAUAUGGUCACCCAUGUUUAUCUCCUAAGCUUACAAAGGGGUUCUGUUUCCUGCUUCGUGAAAGUUCUCUGUGUUGUCUAAAUUUUCUGCAGUGUGUAUAUUUAUUUGACAAUAAGAGGCGGGGUGGGGGGAGACAUCUAUCCUCCUUCAUCAUCCACAUAGGUGACUAUUAGCCUAGAGUCAAAACGAAUAUAAAUUCAAUUCAGUUUGAAUGAUAUCUACCAACCACAUCACUGUGGAAAGAGGAAUGGAACAAAAAUAGAAAGUUUGCUGGGAGCUGGAAGGAUCUACAACUUCAGGCAUGGCCAGCUCCUGGGCCAGCUCCUGAGCUGCCUCUCUGCCAGCCCCGACUCCUGUGUCUGGGGUGCCUCCCACGUGCUGAAAUCCAGUGUCCUGGGCUGG
rnacentral:lncRNA from 1 species